rnacentral:lncRNA from 1 species
AGUAAUGUGUUGUAUGAGAUGCUGAUGAACCCUUGCACGCAUUUUCUUCAAUGACGGCACCACGCCUGAGUCUGAGCUGCUUUCGGUCGUCCGGUGUGGAUGCUGACUUUAUAUUUCUCUUGUGAGCAUACGGCCCGUGUUCUGAGCUGCUUUUCGUCCGUCGCAGGCAGCUGUUGAAUUUCUUUCCGUGGCAGUGACCCUAUGAUCUGAGUUGUUUCUCAGUCGUCUUAGGGAACUGCUACAUUCUUCUUAUCAACACUGCCUCAUGCUCUGAGCUGCUUUCUAGCCAUCUUGAGCCGGGGUUGAGUUAUUCCGGUAAUGUCCCACAUCUGUGUUGUAAAGACUGUUCUCGAGGCUACCGAUUUAUUUGCCGGUUUUAUGCGAGGGUUCCGAGGGUCUAAUUUACAGCUAUAACUUGUAAAGUAAUAACUUUCUAUUUACAUCUCGUCGUAUUAAUGACUCAUGGUGAUAUGGAGAUAGGUUGUGGUAUUUCUAUCGUUGUUAUUUCAUACAUAGUUAUUA